rnacentral:tRNA from 1 species
UGGGGUGUAGCUCAGUGGAAAAGUGCAUGUCUGAUAUGUGAGGCCCUUGGUUCAAGCUCUAGCCCCUUAA